ensembl:snRNA U6 U6 spliceosomal RNA
GUGCUUGCUUCGGAAGCACAUAUACUAAAAUCGGAAGGAUACAGAGAAGAUUAGCAUGGCCCCUGCAUAAGGAUGACACAUAAAUUUGUGAAGUGUUCCAUAUAUAU